AAAGAUUUUUUGGAGAAAAAUGAAACUUUCAGCAAUUGAAUACACAAGAUUUUGUAAAGAUUCACCAUUGACAGAUGAAGAUUCAAGAAAAUGCAUCCCCUUCAAACUGGAAAGGAUCGUAGAAAGAUAUCUGUGCUUGAGUCCUGCCAUGCAUGAAUUCAACCCAGCCUUUAGAGUACUUCAGAUCAAUCUAAGUGAAAUGCAAAUAUUGCUGGCCAUCAGUCUCCACUGUCAUUUUGCUACAGAUAGAAGGAACCAUGUGAAACAAAGGUUGUUUUAAAAAAAAUAUGAGGAAAGCACAAAUCUUGUCUCAGAGGGGCCGAAGUGUAGGAGUCUGCAUAGCCUUUGUAAAGACUCUAGCAGAAAGCCAAACUCCAUCAGAACUGGUGCAUUUCAAGACUGCAGGACCUUUAUAUAUCAUAUUCUUCAAAAGCCUGAAGUCUUUGUGAAAUCUUUCACGUAAAUUCAGUUUGGAUCCAGGAUACACCC